UACAGAGGGUGCGAGCGUUGUCCGGAAUCAUUGGGCGUAAAGGGCUCGCAGGCGGCUCGAUCAAGUCAUGCGUGAAAUCUCUCGGCUCAACUGGGAGCGGUCGUGCGAUACUGAUCAGCUUGAGGCCGGUAGGGGGAAGCGGAAUUCCGGGUGUAGUGGUGGAAUGCGUAGAUAUCCGGAGGAACACCAGUGGCGAAGGCGGCUUCCUGGACCGGUCCUGACGCUCAGGAGCGAAAGCGUGGGUAGCGAUCCGG
rnacentral:rRNA from 1 species